UACGUAGGGUGCGAGCGUUGUCCGGAAUUAUUGGGCGUAAAGAGCUUGUAGGCGGUUUGUCGCGUCUGCCGUGAAAGCCCAGGGCUUAACCCUGGGUCUGCGGUGGGUACGGGCAGACUAGAGUGUGGUAGGGGAGACUGGAAUUCCUGGUGUAGCGGUGAAAUGCGCAGAUAUCAGGAGGAACACCGGUGGCGAAGGCGGGUCUCUGGGCCGUAACUGACGCUGAGGAGCGAAAGCGUGGGGAGCGAACAGGGAUUAGAACC
rnacentral:rRNA from 1 species